CCGCCCCAACACCCAUGUUUCCCACCGGCCCACCCCACAGGCCGCCGCCCUCCUCCAAUCGCGCCGUCGGCUACCCCCUCCUCCAAUCACACUGUCGGCCGCCCCCACCUCCAACUGCGCCGCCGCUGGCCCCUACCACCACCGGUGCUGUGGCCAGGCCCAAUCUUCAACUACGCCGCCGUCGAGGCCUGACUUCCAAACACGUCACCGCCGGGCCCCUACCUCCACUCACGCCGCCGCCGGGCCCUGACAAGCGGCCCUCCGGCUAACCACCGCUUCCCCUCCCGCCGCACGCGCCCUCCGGCCAACUACAGCCUCCCCACCCCGUCCCGCUCAUCUCCCGGCCAACCAUCGCCUCCCAUCCCUCUGACAUCGACCUGCAACUGGUGGUGGUCUUGACCGGCAGCAGGGGGCGGUCUCGACCUGUAGCUGGUCCGCGUUGAUAGGGAUCAUCUUCUCUUGCAGAGAUCCAUUGAUGUUCCUUGCUGAUGGCUGCCCGAGCUAUGAGAAUAAUCGGCCUCCAACCGCCUCGGCCGCUCACCAACACGCCCACCUGCAGUUCAGGUAUUGCCCGACCGAUGCUAAUCGCGGCCACUGCCCUUAAAAUUUGUCUCUCAUCUAGAGCUUGUCAGUACAACGGUUGUCCCAUGCAUUACUCGCUUAAAAAUUUAUUCAUGGAUGCCACCAAGAACCCACGCCUAUGCUCUCUCUCUCAAUUUGUUGAAACAUAUAGCAAUCUUCUUGUGUACUAAUUGACUUUAUGGCCAAGUUUUCUCUGUACAUGAUGCUACUAAUCUAAUAUUGGAAAAGAUUUCCCAUGAGAUGAGUGUGUAUCAGGGUUGAAAAUUUUAUUUUAAGAUCCUCUUGUGGUCUUUGAGGACUCAAAUCAUGUAUUCUGUACACAUGAGUGAAUUUCAGUUUGCCGGAGAAGAGACAUUGCCAUGGCCGAUGUUGGCUGUUCGUGCAUGGACGUGCAUGUAUUCCAUUUGAAAACCUGGGAGCAUGCCCAAAAAAGUUCAGAAAUAUCAAUGGUAAAAGUUAGAAUAUUUGGAGGUUGAUGCUUUGUGUGUGUAUACAUGGGUGCACAUUUUCUUUUUUAUGAUAUGUAGCUCAACAAUGCCGUAAAUUCCACCGGAAUUUGUUCCAUUUAGCAAUUUGUGUUAUGAUGAUUCAGUACUUGUUGUUUAAAAAAAAUGCCAUUUUUUGCAGCAAAAUGUUUGUGAAAAAAAUGUAGUGAAACAUUGUGCUCUCAAGAGUGUUUGAUAUGCUCACAAAAAGUGUUUUGAUGAAUUGGUUUAUUUGAAGUUCAAAUUGGUUUGUUGAAGAAGGUCGACUCUAUCCUGGACAACACACAGCCUCCUCCCAGUGGGGCCCAUCAUGCUCAGGUCGUUCGUCGCUGCCACCUCCGGCCGUUCAACUACGCAGACGUUCACCGCCAUCAGAAACAGCGGCGAGCACGAAGACACCCUCUCAUGCUCAGUGCUCUGUCCAGCAUAACACAAGAAGUUCAUGUAAAACAGCUGCGAACAUUCAGAAAGAUUAGCUCGCCCCUCCUCCAUCGAUGGCCUACACCGGCCGCUAGAACCCGUCCAGGUGCUGGCCGUCAUCCUCUACCUUCAAUUACGGGUCAGCAACAACGUUGCGAAUAGAAAGGGCCCUGUGAAGUUCAAUUUGUUUUGCUUUCCGAAGUUUAGUUUGUUGAUUUUCUGAAGUUUGGAUUGUUAAUUUUUUGAAGAGAAAGGUUGAUUCACUUGCACUCCACUAUCUAGUCCUGUGUGGUGAUAUCCUCGACUCCUUGGUUCGGAGCUAGCAGCGGUUCUUCAACUUCCCUGCUGUGUUGCCGCGAUUGUUGGUAAAUAAUCCUUGUUCUACUAUUGCCUUGUAGUAAUGCUGGAUGGGUUCCCCCUUGUUGUGGAACCAUAAUAAUACAAGUUUGUCUCUGCGCUCCUGUUCCUGUGUUACAAUAGCAGAGAAAAGUACCAAGGGUCAGAACCAAACCAGAGUGAACCAUACCAAUCAGAACAUGGUCAUUUGGAGCCAACUCUAAUCGUUUGUUCAUCUAACUGCAGCAGAGACAAAUUUUAUACUUUGUUCAUUUACGGUGCCAAGUUGAGCGGACACCGUACCACUCGAGAAGAUGGGGAGAGGAUGUGUGGUGAAGAGAAAACAUAGGGUUUCAAAUUGUCCAUUGGUGGUAGCAUCUAAUCAUUUUACCAAAGUGUAAUGGACAUGUGUAUGUAUGUACAGUAGCAUAUUUUACUCAAACCGAGUUAUUUUUUUAA